GAUGAACGCUGGCGGCGUGCCUAAUACAUGCAAGUCGAGCGAACAGACGAGGAGCUUGCUCCUCUGACGUUAGCGGCGGACGGGUGAGUAACACGUGGAUAACCUACCUAUAAGACUGGGAUAACUUCGGGAAACCGGAGCUAAUACCGGAUAAUAUAUUGAACCGCAUGGUUCAAUAGUGAAAGACGGUUUUGCUGUCACUUAUAGAUGGAUCCGCGCCGCAUUAGCUAGUUGGUAAGGUAACGGCUUACCAAGGCAACGAUGCGUAGCCGACCUGAGAGGGUGAUCGGCCACACUGGAACUGAGACACGGUCCAGACUCCUACGGGAGGCAGCAGUAGGGAAUCUUCGGCAAUGGGCGAAAGCCUGACGGAGCAACGCCGCGUGAGUGAUGAAGGUCUUCGGAUCGUAAAACUCUGUUAUUAGGGAAGAACAAAUGUGUAAGUAACUAUGCACGUCUUGACGGUACCUAAUCAGAAGGCCACGGCUAACUACGUG
rnacentral:rRNA from 1 species